CAUUCACGGAGAGUUUGAUCCUGGCUCAGGACGAACGCUGGCGGCGUGCUUAACACAUGCAAGUCGAACGAUGAACCGCUUUCGGGCGGGGAUUAGUGGCGAACGGGUGAGUAACACGUGGGCAAUCUGCCCUGCACUCUGGGACAAGCCCUGGAAACGGGGUCUAAUACCGGAUAUGACUGUCCAUCGCAUGGUGGAUGGUGUAAAGCUCCGGCGGUGCAGGAUGAGCCCGCGGCCUAUCAGCUUGUUGGUGAGGUAGUGGCUCACCAAGGCGACGACGGGUAGCCGGCCUG
rnacentral:rRNA from 1 species